rnacentral:tRNA from 1 species
GAGGGCAUAGCUCAGAGGUAGAGCACAUGCUUAGCAUGGGCAAGGUCCUAGGUUCAAUCCCAGUACCUCCA